GACGAACGCUGGCGGCGUGCUUAACACAUGCAAGUCGAACGGAGUGGCGAACGGGUGAGUAACACGUGGGUGAUCUGCCUUACACUUCGGGAUAAGCCUGGGAAACUGGGUCUAAUACCGGAUAGUGCAAGAUGGGCUGGGGGCCAAUCAGCUUGUUGGGGGGGUAAUGACCUACCAAUGCGGCGACGGGUAGCCGACCUGGGAGGGUGUACGGCCUCAAUGGGACUGCGGUACGGCCCAGAGUGCUACGGGGGGCAGCAGUGGGGAUUAUUGCACAAUGGGCGGAAGCCUGAUGCAGCGACGCCGCGUGGGGAAUGAAGGCCUUCGGGUUGUAAACUCCUUUCGACAGGGACGCGGUACCUGUAUAAGAAGCACCGGCUAACUACGUGCCAGCAGCCGCGGUAAUAC
rnacentral:rRNA from 1 species